rnacentral:rRNA from 1 species
UGGGGGAUAUUGCACAAUGGGCGAAAGCCUGAUGCAGCGACGCCGCGUGGGGGAUGAAGGCCUUCGGGUUGUAAACUUCUUUUGCUCUGAACAAGGCAUGCUUUUGGGGUGUGUUGAGCGUAGGGGUUGAUUAGCGCCGGCUAACUACGUGCCAGCAGCCGCGGUAAUACGUAGGGCGCGAGCGUUGUCCGGAAUUAUUGGGCGUAAAGGGCUUGUAGGUGGCUGGUUGCGUCUGUCGUGAAAGCUCAUGGCUUAACUGUGGGUUUGCGGUGGGUACGGGCUGGCUUGAGUGCAGUAGGGGAGGCUGGAAUUCCUGGUGUAGCGGUGGAAUGCGCAGAUAUCAGGAGGAAUACCGGUGGCGAAGGCGUGUCUCUGGGCUGUUACUGACGCUGAGGGGCGAAAGCGUGGGGAGCGAACAGG